rnacentral:rRNA from 1 species
UCCCUGCAGCGGCCGCAAUCUAGUGAUGGAGGCAGCAUGGGGAUAUUGGAUGGGUUGACCGCUUUCGCCUGUGACGAAGCGUGAGUGACGGUAAUGGGUAAAGAAGCACCGGCUAACUACGUGCCAGCAGCCGCGGUGAUACGUAGGGUGCGAGCGUUGUCCGGAUUUAUUGGGCGUAAAGGGCUCGUAGGUGGUUGAUCGCGUCGGAAGUGUAAUCUUGGGGCUUAACCCUGAGCGUGCUUUCGAUACGGGUUGACUUGAGGAAGGUAGGGGAGAAUGGAAUUCCUGGUGGAGCGGUGGAAUGCGCAGAUAUCAGAGGAACACCAGUGGCGAAGGCGGUUCUCUGGGCCUUUCCUGACGCUGAGGAGCGAAAGCGUGGGGAGCGAACAGGCUUAGAUACCCUGGUAGUCCACGCUGUAAACGGUGGGUACUAGGUGUGGGGUCCAUUCCACGGGUUCCGUGCCGUAGCUACGCUUUAAGUACCCCGCCUGGGGAGUACGGCCGCAAGGCUAAAACUCAAAGGAAUGACGGGCCCCGCAGCGCGGAGCUGCGGAUUAUGAUGCCCUCCUACCUGGGUUUGACAUGGAUCGGGAGCGCUCAAGGGUGUGCCUCUUUUGGGGUCGGUUCACAGGUGGUGCAUGGCGUCGUCAGCUCGUGUCUGAGAUGUUGGGUUAAGUCCCGCAACGAGCGCAACCCUUGCU